CCUAGAGUUGUAGGCUUUGCCUGCUAUCUCUUACCCAUGUCUUUUGAGUACCUUCGUUUCCUCGGCGGGUCCGCCCGCCGAUCGGACAAUUUAAACCAUUUGCAGUUGCAAUCAGCGUCUGAAAAAACUUAAUAGUUA
rnacentral:misc_RNA from 1 species